rnacentral:rRNA from 1 species
CCUACGGGGAGCUGCAGUGGGGAAUAUUGGACAAUGGGCGAAAGCCUGAUCCAGCCAUGCCGCGUGUGUGAAGAAGGCCUUCGGGUUGUAAAGCACUUUCAGUGGGGAAGAAAGCCUUGGGGCUAAUACCCUCGAGGAAGGACAUCACCCACAGAAGAAGCACCGGCUAACUCCGUGCCAACAGCCGCGGUAAUACGGAGGGUGCGAGCGUUAAUCGGAAUUACUGGGCGUAAAGCGCGCGUAGGCGGUCUGAUAAGCCGGUUGUGAAAGCCCCGGGCUCAACCUGGGAACGGCAUCCGGAACUGUCAGGCUAGAGUGCAGGAGAGGAAGGUAGAAUUCCCGGUGUAGCGGUGAAAUGCGUAGAGAUCGGGAGGAAUACCAGUGGCGAAGGCGGCCUUCUGGACUGACACUGACGCUGAGGUGCGAAAGCGUGGGUAGCAAACAGGAUUAGAUACCCUAGUAGUC